rnacentral:rRNA from 1 species
CACGUAGGGCGCGAGCGUUGUCCGGAAUUAUUGGGCGUAAAGAGCUCGUAGGCGGCCUGUUGCGUCCGCUGUGAAAGCCCGGGGCUUAACCCCGGGUCGGCAGUGGAUACGGGCAGGCUAGAGGUAGGUAGGGGAGAAUGGAAUUCCCGGUGUAGCGGUGAAAUGCGCAGAUAUCGGGAGGAACACCGGUGGCGAAGGCGGGUCUCUGGGCCGUAACUGACGCUGAGGAGCGAAAGCGUGGGGAGCGAACAGG